rnacentral:tRNA from 1 species
GCCCCUGUGGCUUAAUGGAUAGAGCGCGUCGCUUCGGACGAUGAGGUGGGGGUUCGAUUCCCUCCAGGGGCA